AACCUUACCUACCCUUGACAUGGUCGGAAUCCUGAAGAGAUUCGGGAGUGCUCGAAAGAGAACCGGCGCACAGGUGCUGCAUGGCUGUCGUCAGCUCGUGUCGUGAGAUGUUGGGUUAAGUCCCGCAACGAGCGCAACCCUUGUCCUUAGUUGCUACGCAAGAGCACUCUAAGGAGACUGCCGGUGACAAACCGGAGGAAGGUGGGGAUGACGUCAAGUCCUCAUGGCCCUUAUGGGUAGGGCUUCACACGUCAUACAAUGGUCGGAACAGAGGGUUGCCAACCCGCGAGGGGGAGCUAAUCCCAGACACCCGUUCUUAGUCCGGAUUGCACUCUGCAACUCGAGUGCAUGAAGCUGGAAUCGCUAGUAAUCGCGGAUCAG
rnacentral:rRNA from 1 species